rnacentral:rRNA from 1 species
GACGAACGCUGGCGGCGUGCCUAAUACAUGCAAGUAGAACGCUGAAGGAGGAGCUUGCUUCUCUGGAUGAGUUGCGAACGGGUGAGUAACGCGUAGGUAACCUGCCUGGUAGCGGGGGAUAACUAUUGGAAACGAUAGCUAAUACCGCAUAAGAGUAGAUGUUGCAUGACAUUUGCUUAAAAGGUGCAAUUGCAUCACUACCAGAUGGACCUGCGUUGUAUUAGCUAGUUGGUGAGGUAACGGCUCACCAAGGCGACGAUACAUAGCCGACCGGAGAGGGUGAUCGGCCACACUGGGACUGAGACACGGCCCAGACUCCUACGGGAGGCAGCAGUAGGGAAUCUUCGGCAAUGGACGGAAGUCUGACCGAGCAACGCCGCGGGAGUGUAGAAGGUUGUCGGAUCGUAAAGCUCUGUUGUAAGAGAAGAACGAGUGUGAGAGUGGAAAGUUCACACUGUGACGGUAGCUGACCAGAAAGGGACGGCUAACUACGUG